rnacentral:rRNA from 1 species
GACGAACGCUGGCGGCGUGCUUAACACAUGCAAGUCGAACGGGCCUUGUCCCCUUUUUUUUGGGGGUGGGGUUAGUGGCGAACGGGUGAGUAACACGUGAGUAACCUGCCCCUCACUUCUGGAUAACCGCUUGAAAGGGUGGCUAAUACGGGGUGUUCUGGCCUGCUCGCAUGGGUGGGUUUGGAAAGAUUCGACCGGUUUUGGUUGUUUUGGUGGGGGAUGGGCUCGCGGCCUAUCAGCUUGUUGGUGGGGUGAUGGCCUGCCAAGGCUUUGACGGGUAGCCGGCCUGAGAGGGUGGGCGGUCACACUGGGACUGAGACACGGCCCAGACUCCUACGGGAGGCAGCAGUGGGGAAUAUUGCACAAUGGGCGCAGGCCUGAUGCAGCGACGCCGCGUGAGGGAUGGAGGCCUUCGGGUUGUGAACCUCUUUCGCCAGUGAAGAAGGUCCUGCUCUUUGUGGUGGGGUUGACGGUAGCUGGGUUAAUGAAGCGCCGGCUAACUACGUG